GGGGGCACGGGGGGGCUUUUUUUGAACGCUGGCGGCGCGCCUAAAACAUGCAAGUCGUACGAGAAAGUUCUUCGGAAUGAGUAGAGUGGCGCACGGGUGAGUAACACGUGGAUAACCUACCUUAAGGACUGGGAUAACGUUUCGAAAGAAUCGCUAAUACCAGAUGAUGAUCGGAGAUCAGUGGAGGUCUUCAAUUGAAAACAUGGUUUCAUGGCCUAAAGAGGGGUCUGCGUCCCAUUAGCUUGUUGGUGAGGUAAAAGCUUAUCCAAGGCUCGGAUGGGUAGCUGGUCUGAGAGGAUGAUCAGCCACACUGGAACUGAAACACGGUCCAGACUCCUACGGGAGGCAGCAGUUGGGAAUAUUGCGCAAUGGGGGAGACCCUGACGCAGCUGACGCCGCGUGAGUGAAGAAGGCCUUNUGGUUGUAAAGCUCUGUCNGAAGGGGAAGAACGCAUAGAUUUAAUAAAUCGGUGUUGACGGUNCCUUCAUAGGAANCACCGGCUAACUCUGUGCCANUCANCNNCCGUNAUACNUAGGCNUGCCNNCGNUNCUCCNNAGUACUGGCGUAAAAGAGUNCCUAGUCGGACCAACUANUCNGGGGGUNAANCCCCGGNUCCUAUCCCCNGAUCUGCUUNGUNNACC
rnacentral:rRNA from 1 species